rnacentral:tRNA from 1 species
GGGUGAUUAGCUCAGCUGGGAGAGCGUCUGCCUUACAAGCAGAAUGUCGGCGGUUCGAUCCCGUCAUCGCCCACCA